CGCCCGCACCACUCCCUCCCUGCCCCACGCCCAAUCCCCUCGCCCGCACCGCUCCCUCCCUCCUCGAUCUCUCUCCCUGGCCAGCCGCCUUUGGUGGGAAACCCUAGCCUGCCGCCACUCGCGCCCGUCUCCUCCGGCCAGCCUCCGCCUGCAACCUCCCCCCUCCCGUUUCAGAAGGGAAGGGAGGGAAGGGAAGAGAAGAGGGGUAGCGAGCAGGUCAGGUGGCCAUGGCGCUUGCAGAUCCACCGGCCCCGUCGUCGCCGCUGCGCUCGCAGGGCGCCAGGAGCAUGGCCUCGAUCUGGAGCAGGAGAGGCCAGGAGUGACAUGGUCACAUGGGAGCAGCUCGGCUGCUUGCCGGUGGUGACGGAUGCGCUCAGACCUAUGGCCCGGUCCCGCCGCCGCGCGCCGUCCACCUCCCCGCAGGCAUGCCGGCCACCUCCCCAUCUGACGCACAUCUUCCCCAUGGGGCCAUGGCACACGGUGAGCAGCAGUGUGAGUUCCACACAUUUUGAAGCUACAGCCGCUGGAAAUUUGUGAAGAAUGAAGAAAGGUGGAUCCACCAGCAGCUUCGAGUAGGAUGAGGAGAUCUGGACGGAGUUCGUGUUUCAGCAACCAUGGUAGCGCGUCCUCCGACCUCGACCUAGGUAAGCUCCUUCUUUUAGUGAUGUUAGUAAGUCAGCUUUCUCUACCUAGCUCCAUGCGGCAGCCUGGCCAGCUGCCUUGUUCUCUCCACUUAAUCCUUGCUAUUUGUAGGCCGGAGCCAAAUUCAGUUUUGUCUGCAUUCAACUGCAGGCUCUUUAAUGUAUUUUUGUAAGUGGAAUCUGACUUCUCAUGGUUUGCCUAAACAAUGAUUAGUCUAUUGUAUAAUUGAACUAGGUCCAUGGCUUUAAGAAAUUGAGCGAAAUCUACUUUUUCAGGCUUUAAACCCAAUCAUUCAUAUUUGUUGCGACCAAAUGUUCUGUUAUAACUUUAAAAUUGAAAACCAAGUUUCCCUGGACAAUUAUACUUUUUUGUGAGCUUAUUAUUCACAAGUUAUAGUAAUAUGGUAUUAUGGGCUUUGCUCCUAACAUGAUAAGGAGGAAAGAACUGCAGGCUAUAUUGUUUGUUGACAUUCUCAUGAUCCGCGCUCGCAGGUUCCGACUUUUGUGAGCUACUGCUGCAGAUGAUAUUUGGUCCCCAUCCUUUCUACUGGCUCCUAAUUUUUGUGUGAUGAACAAAUGGUUUAGAUUUACCGUGUAAAGCUGAGAUUCUACAUUGGUCUGGAAUUUAACUGGUUACCUUUGUUUAAUUUAAUGCCAUGCGAAACCUAAUGUAGAUGUUCAUGUCUUCCCAAUGAUGUUAGUAGGAAGAUUUUUUUUUUGCUUUCUUCAUAGUGUAAAUCUGUUGUUCAAGCUUCAAAUAUAUCUUGUUUAUUAUCUUUCCUUUUCUGCAAACUAAUGGACCAUAUUUCUACUCAAACAGAGGCAAAGACGUCUUCUUAAUGUUGCAGAAGUUUGGAGGCAUCAAGGAAUGCAUCCUCCUCUUGCUAUGCAAACUGAGGAAAUCAAAGUGAUGGGAAAGCAUUGUACAACAGCUGUUGACUUCAGGAUAUUUCAUGGAUGAGUUAUACUCCUUGACUCCCAUGAGUGUAUCAUCCGCUUGCUAUGCAAACCGAGGAAAUCAAAGUGGCAAAGCAAUUGAAUGCAUGUGUUGACUUCAGGAUAUCUCAAGGACGAGUUAGAAUCUAUGACGCUCAGGGAUGCAUCCUCUGCUUGCUACACAAACUGAGGAAACCAAAGCAGCAAAGCAUUGUACUGCAGAUGUCGACUUCGGAAUAUCUCAUGAACCAGUUAUACUCCUUGAUGCUCACGUAAAAUUAACUUAUUUUGCUCUCUGCAAUUGCAUAAUAGAACGGUUGAGCUAAACAUCUCGCUGCUGAUAUUUUAAAAUGUAUUGCAACCACUAUACAACCCAUCCAUCGUAAUUGAUAUGUUGAGACUGGAUCGUAGUAGUUGUUCUGCCUCAUCUAUCACUAUCUGCGGGCUUGCUUUGAUUAUGUUUCUCCCAACUUUCUGUAACUAAAAAGCAGCCUGUAAAUGUAGCUUGAAUAAAAAUGGUACCUUUCAGUUUUGUGCAAGUUCAAAGUAUUAGUAGUUUUAGUUUGUCCAAUUUUUGCAGGGAUAUUGUGUGAGGUCUGGUACAAACUUUUAAGACAAUCACUUAAUACAUUCAUGGGAUCACCAACUUUUGGCGUUUGUUAAUACUAGCUAGGUGGGGCCAUGAAGACACGAUUCAUGGGAUUACCAACUGCUGGUAUAGCUUAUUCUUUUCUGUUGCAGCUAUUCCGGAGAAGUUUAGAGCUUCUGCAACCUUUUGAAGACACGAUUUGUAGUUGCGGAGAUGAAACAAUCAAUCAGUUGCGAUGCAUUACAUAAUCUUUUUGCUUUGGACAUUGAUGGGUAUUAUUUUGCCACAAAGGACAGGAGCUGUGCCAUUUGACUCGAAGGAUAAAGCGUUCAUCACAAGGGGGUGGUCUUUAGGAUGUACACAAAAGAGGAAAUUUCCUUUUGUAUAGAACCAAAUUAUAUGAUUUAAUUGACCAUUCUCUUGUACACAAUGUUUAUCAUGUAUUAAGUACAUUUUAUUGUCAAAUAUGUUUACUUUUUUUUA